CCUACGGGCGGCAGCAGUGAGGAAUAUUGGUCAAUGGACGAGAGUCUGAACCAGCCAAGUAGCGUGAAGGAUGACUGCCCUAUGGGUUGUAAACUUCUUUUAUAAAGGAAUAAAACGAGGCACGUGUGCCUUUUUGCAUGUACUUUAUGAAUAAGGAUCGGCUAACUCCGUGCCAGCAGCCGCGGUAAUACGGAGGAUCCGAGCGUUAUACGGAUUUGUUGGGUUUAAAGGGAGCGUAGAUGGGUUGUUAAGUCAGUUGUGAAAGUUUGCGGCUCAACCGUAAAAUUGCAAUUGAUACUGGCAGUCUUGAGUACAGUUGAGGUAAGCGGAAUUCGUGGUGUAGCGGUGAAAUGCUUAGAUAUCACGAAGAACCCCGAUUGCGAAGGCAGCUUACUAAACUGUGACUGACAUUGAUGCUCGAAAGUGUGGGUAUCAAACAGGAUUAGAGACCCGAGUAGUC
rnacentral:rRNA from 1 species